rnacentral:rRNA from 1 species
GAUGAACGCUGGCGGCGUGCCUAAUACAUGCAAGUCGAGCGAACGGACGAGAAGCUUGCUUCUCUGAUGUUAGCGGCGGACGGGUGAGUAACACGUGGAUAACCUACCUAUAAGACUGGGAUAACUUCGGGAAACCGGAGCUAAUACCGGAUAAUAUUUUGAACCGCAUGGUUCAAAAGUGAAAGACGGUCUUGCUGUCACUUAUAGAUGGAUCCGCGCUGCAUUAGCUAGUUGGUAAGGUAACGGCUUACCAAGGCAACGAUGCAUAGCCGACCUGAGAGGGUGGUCGGCCGCACAGGAACUGAGACACGGUCCAGACUCCUACGAGAGGCAGCAGUAGGGAAUCUUCCGCAAUGGGCGAAAGCCUGACGGAGCGACGCAGCGUGAGUGAUGAAGGUCUUCGGAUCGUAAAACUGUGUUAUUAGGGAAGAACAUAUGUGUAAGUAACUGUGCACAUCUUGACGGUACCUAGUCAGAAAGCCACGGCUAACUACGUG